rnacentral:rRNA from 1 species
GAUGAACGCUGGCGGCGUGCCUAAUACAUGCAAGUCGAGCGAAUGGAUUAAGAGCUUGCUCUUAUGAAGUUAGCGGCGGACGGGUGAGUAACACGUGGGUAACCUGCCCAUAAGACUGGGAUAACUCCGGGAAACCGGGGCUAAUACCGGAUAACAUUUUGAACCGCAUGGUUCGAAAUUGAAAGGCGGCUUCGGCUGUCACUUAUGGAUGGACCCGCGUCGCAUUAGCUAGUUGGUGAGGUAACGGCUCACCAAGGCAACGAUGUGUAGCCGACCUGAGAGGGUGAUCGGCCACACUGGGACUGAGACACGGGCCAGACUCCUACGGGAGGCAGCAGUAGGGAAUCUUCCGCAACGGACGAAAGUCUGACGGAGCAACGCCGCGUGAGUGAUGAAGGCUUUCGGGUCGUAAAACUCUGUUGUUAGGGAAGAACAAGUGCUAGUUGAAUAAGCUGGCACCUUGACGGUACCUAACCAGAAAGCCACGGCUAACUACGUGCCAGCCGCCGCAGUAA